GGGUCAAUAAGUGCAUUUUCAAAGGGGCCACUUUGUCUGGACUCUAUUUCAAAUUGUAUUCAUCCGAUCUUCACCAAACUUGGUCAGCAGUUGCAUCUAGUUGAUAUAUAGGCCAAGUUCGAAUAUGGGUCAUGCCGGGUCAAAAACUAGGUCAUAGGGUCAAUUAGUCCAUUUUCAACAGCGCCACUUUGUCCGGACUCUUAUUCAAAUUGUAUUCAUCCGAUCUUUACCAAACUUGGUCAGUAGUUGCAUCUAGUUGAUAUCUAGGUCAAGUUCGAAUAUGGGUCAUGUCGGGUCAAGAACUAGGUCAUAGGGUCAAUUAGUGCAUUUUCAACAGCGCCACUUUGUCCGGACUCUAAUUCAAAUUGUAUUCAUCCGAAACUUUUAAACAACUUUUUAUCCUGCGUCAAAGUGGUAUGGGGGUAUAAGUCACAUUCAGUGACAAAGCUCUAGUUCAAGUUGAAUUCACCAAACUUGGUCAGAGGUAGUAUAUAGAUUAUAUAUCAGUCAGGUCUGAUUGGAGACAUGCAACCGAUUAACACAUGCAAUAUUUUUAUGCAAUAUUUUUAUCCAGUUUUAUUUUGCGAUAUUUUCAUCGGGUUUAUUUUUUUCGCGAUUUUUGAAACGAGUUAUUUUUAACAACAUGUUUAUUGGUAAGUUUCAUU